rnacentral:lncRNA from 1 species
CUCUCGCUACUAAGACUUAUGUGGAGCUAAAGGUAACUCAAGGAUACAACAUACUUACCUUGCAUAUAUUGCCUAGUCAAACCGGGAUCCUCGAUGAGGAAACCAUAGCCUUAGAUCAAGAUGUGCAUGUGUGGUUUAAAAUGAAUAUUUAUAGUAGAGAAUAUUUAUGGAGAGGAAGGGUGAAAGAGUUACUCUACAGUGCUCAUUUACAAAAGUACCUCUCUUGGUAUGAUUUUUUUUGAGGAACAGGGGCUUUAUCUUUAUUUCUUUCUUUCUUUCUUUCCCUUUUUUUAAAUAAGAACAUAAUAGCCUAAUUUCUAAUGAAAAGUUCUUUGAGAGGAUAAACAAUAAAUUAGAGCACUUGUUUUUGGGUGUUUGGCUAGCAAUCAAGGAAAAACCUAUGGCAAAGUAUUUUUGGUGUUUACUCCGAGUGUAGGAGCAGAACAUUUUUGAGUGGAUCUAAAUAGGUCAAUAUGGUGGUGCGUCCUUCCAGGAUAGAAAUAGCAAGGGGUGCAAAGUGUAAUCUUCUUGAUCUUGGGAGCAUGAUUAACCUUUCAACAAGAGUCUAACACAAGUUGACUAAACUCAAUACAAAACAAGUACCUUAUGAGCUAGUUUUCUUAUUAUAGUAAAUGUAUGGCUAUGGUAGGAAUUAAAGGUCUCAUCAUACAUGAACUCAUCAUGUGAUAAUUUUAUGUUUUCACAAUAUAAAUCUCUAGAUUUCAAGUAUCUCUUGGAAUAAGAUGAUAGUAGCUCAGACUUUCAAUAUCACAUCCACCAAUUACUUAGACUU